CUGUCCUGCCUCGGCAUGACGUUCAACUCCCCACAACUCUGGAGCUGCAGCCCUGGACGCUGGACUCGCGAGGACUGAAGCUGGUCUGGAGACAAAGAGGCAAUAGAGAAAUGGCCCACAGAUGGCCUGCAGAGCUGGGGCCACCCAGGGAUCAAGGACAGAGAGGAAAGAGGACAGCCCAGCCAAAGCACAGGCAACCUCUGCGGCAUUUGAGAGAGGAGAGAAGAGGACCUCUCCCCAGCAAGAUAGGGAGGGGGUGGGGUGAUGCCAAUGAAGGGAGGGUGGUGACCUGAGUGAGGGAGAAGUGUAGGUAGAGGCCAUGGACUUGGACAGGGGGAGGUGAGGGUGUGGUGGGGUGCAGGUGACUCUUUCAAAAAUUUGAGAUCUUGCUAGUCCAAGGGGAGGGUGGAAGGGAGAGAAAGCAUGGCUUGAAAAGGACAUGGGUGAGCCGAUGACACUUUGAGGAAGUGGCCACUACAUCGGUCCCUCCUUUGCCCUGAGCCUGCUGGCUGGGAGGGGAAGCAGAUUCCAAGGCCAAGGGCAGGACCUUGAGGGAGCUGCCACCUGGGAUUGCUGUUACCUCUGUGGGAUCAGAGACUGCUGAGGGAGAGGAAGAGGUGACUGGGCUAGAGGUGGCCAGGGACAGAAAAGAAGGGCAAGGUGGCUCCCACUGCACCAUGAACCACUGCCUUCCUAGGGGGUCUCCAGACUCUUAGAGCUGAGGCCUCCACAUUUGGGGGGGGGCAGGUCCAACAGGCUCCCAGACCUAACUCAACAGGGCCACACUCCCCCUUGCUCCCCAACCUUGCAUCUUGGUCCCCCUCUCUGCAUCUGCUCCCCACAUCUUGCUUCCCAGCCCUGCUCUGACAGCAGGGCCUGCAGUUCCCUACGCAGACCCUUCCGGAAAGCAUCUGCUUUCCCCUGCACCACUGCCAGCCAGUGACCCCCUGGCUCACCUGGACCCUGCAGUAGCAGUGGCCUCCUCCUUUGGCCUGGUGCAGCCGGAGGGAUCCUCUUGAAGCACAAAUCUGACCAGUCUCGCCCCUGUCUGAGCUCUUUCUCUGGGCUUUUCUGUGCCCUGGAGAUGAAACUAAAUUCCUCUCCAAGCCAUACAAGAUCCGCAUGAACUAGACUUCGGCCUCCCCAGCUCCGGCCGCCACUGGCGAGCGGCGUGCUCCCUGAGCUUCCCUCUGUGCUGGGCCUGCUGUCUGGCUUCCCUUCCUUUGCAGGCCUCCCUCUGCUCCUUCAGGACUGCCGGUUCAGGAGGCCAAAGAGGCUGUGGGAGCCGUCCCCUAGCCAGCCACCAUGGUCUGCCCCCGCUUGGGCUGGCUAGGCUGAAGUUUUCUGGAGCGGAACCCGGGCUGGAGCUUUGGCCUCCCGCACCCUGACCAGCUCACUGCUAGUGACAGUUACAGUGUUGCCUGAGGCAGCUCCAGGAGGACCCCACAUCGCACUUAGUCGUCAUGUCUCCAGAGGCUCCUCUUGGCCAUGACAGUUUCUCAGCCUCUCCUUGCUCUGGGCGCCACUGCCGUUCCCACACCAUUAGACUGACCUCAGGAGCUAUCACUAUCUGUGUGACCUUGAUGGCCUGGCCACUGUGAAGUGACUCUUGGGAAGGAGGCUUAAGGAGUGGAGAGUCCUCUGCAGCCUCCUACAGAAACGAUGUGGGAUUCUUCCGCCCCGGAGGUUUGUUUACUCUCCCACGUUGAUUGAUUUAAUGGUUUAUUUAUAACAAUAAGAGUACGGAUUCAUGGAAAUUUAUCUCAUACUUUUGAUUGUAAUCUAAUAUUACUCUAUUUAUUUUGUUAUUCAACUUUUCCAUCUUUGACCAUUGGGGGCUCUUUCAGUUGGCUCCCAUGUCCCCCUGACAAGCCCCCUCACUACAUGUGGGCAUGUGGGUUUGAGUAAGUACUUCCUUACUUUCUGGCCCAGGCCCAUCUUGUAUGUUUCCUGCCUCAGUCUUAGAAUCAGCCAUUUCUCCAAAGAGCCAUUUUCUUGGAGAAUGGUGUUAGAAACUAAGAUCUGGGCUCUAGGUGUACUCAUUGCUACUGGAGUACUGUUGCUGACAGAGCAAGGGUAUUUAUAUAUGUACUAACCCACAUAUAUACACAUAUCUAUAAACACAUACGUAUGCAUCAGUAUCUAUAUUAAACUAAACACUAGCUGGGUGUGGUGGUGCACACCUAUAGUCCCAGCUACUUGGGAGGCUGAAGUAGGAGGC